rnacentral:rRNA from 1 species
UGGCGGACGGGUGAGUGACGCGUGAGAAUCUGCCUUCAGGACGGAGACAACAGUUGGAAACGACUGCUAAGCCCCGAUGAACCGAAAGGGAAAAUAUUUAUAGCCUGAAGAUGAGCUCGCGUCCGAUUAGCUAGUUGGCGGAGUAAAAGCCCACCAAGGCGACGAUCGGUAGCUGGUCUGAGAGGACGAUCAGCCACACUGGGACUGAGACACGGCCCAG